rnacentral:rRNA from 1 species
AGUGAACGCUGGCGGUAGGCCUAACACAUGCAAGUCGAACGGCAGCACAGUAAGAGCUUGCUCUUACGGGUGGCGAGUGGCGGACGGGUGAGGAAUACAUCGGAAUCUACUUUUUCGUGGGGGAUAACGUAGGGAAACUUACGCUAAUACCGCAUACGACCUACGGGUGAAAGCAGGGGAUCUUCGGACCUUGCGCGAUUGAAUGAGCCGAUGUCGGAUUAGCUAGUUGGCGGGGUAAAGGCCCACCAAGGCGACGAUCCGUAGCUGGUCUGAGAGGAUGAUCGGCGAGACUGGAAGUGAGAGACGGUACAGACUCCGACGGGAGGCAGAAGUAGGGAAUCUUAGGCAAGGGGGGGAAGCUGGACGGAACAACGCUGCGUGAGUGAAAAAGGACUUCGGAUCGUAAAACCCUGUGAUGAGGGAAGAACAAAAGUAGAAGGAACUAUGAACGUCGUGACGGUACCGAAGGAGAAAGCCACGGCUAACUACGUG